CAAUAGCGUAUAUUAAAGUUGUUGCAGUUAAAAAGCUCGUAGUUGGAUUUCUGGUGGGAGCGAUCGGUCUGGCGCUUAGCGCGAGUACUUGCAUCGUCUCCGGCCAUCCUUGGGGAAAGUCUGUCUGGCAUUAAGUUGUCGGGCAGAGGAUCCUCAUCGUUUACUGUGAAAAAAUUAGAGUGUUCAAAGCAGGCCUAUGCCGUUGAAUAUAUUAGCAUGGAAUAAUAAGAUAGGACUUUGGUACUAUUUUGUUGGUUUGCGCACCAAAGUAAUGAUUAAUAGGGACAGUUGGGGGUAUUCGUAUUCCGUUGUCAGAGGUGAAAUUCUUGGAUUUACGGAAGACGAACUACUGCGAAAGCAUUUACCAAGGAUGUUUUCAUUAA
rnacentral:rRNA from 1 species